rnacentral:rRNA from 1 species
AUUGAACGCUGGCGGCAUGCCUUACACAUGCAAGUCGAACGGCAGCACGGGAGCAAUCCUGGUGGCGAGUGGCGAACGGGUGAGUAAUAUAUCGGAACGUGCCCAGUCGUGGGAAUAACGUAGCGAAAGCUACGCUAAUACCGCAUACGAUCUAUGGAUGAAAGCGGGGGAUCGCAAGACCUCGCGCGAUUGGAGCGGCCGAUAUCAGAUUAGGUAGUUGGUGAGGUAAAGGCUCACCAAGCCGACGAUCUGUAGCUGGUCUGAGAGGACGACCAGCCACACUGGGACUGAGACACGGCCCAGACUCCUACGGAGGCAGCAGUGGGAAUUUUGGACAAUGGGCGCAAGCCUGAUCCAGCAAUGCCGCGUGCAGGAUGAAGGCCUCGGUUGUAAC